UCCGAUAUGGUGUAACGGCUAACAUCGUCGCCUUUCAAUCCAAAAUUGUCCGCGACAGCUCGGGGUUCGAUUCCCCGUAUCGGAG